UACGAAGGGGGCUAGCGUUGUUCGGAAUUACUGGGCGUAAAGCGCACGUAGGCGGGUUGUUAAGUGCAGGGGUGAAAUCCUGGAGCUCAACUCCAGAACUGCCUUUGAUACUGGCAACCUAGAGACUGGAAGAGGUUAGUGGAAUUCCCAGUGUAGAGGUGAAAUUCGUAGAUAUUGGGAGAACACCCGUGGCGAAGGCGGCUCUCUGGAACGCAACUGACGCUGAGACGCGAAAGCGUGGG
rnacentral:rRNA from 1 species